AUUGACCGCUGGCGGAAUGCUUUACACAUGCAAGUCGAACGGCAGCACGGGUGCUUGCACCUGGUGGCGAGUGGCGAACGGGUGAGUAAUAUAUCGGAACGUGUCCAAUAAUGGGGGAUAACAUAUCGAAAGAUGUGCUAAUACCGCAUACGCCCUGAGGGGGAAAGCGGAGGAUCGUAAGACUUCGCGUUAAUGGAGCGGCCGAUAUCGGAUUAGCUAGUUGGUGAGGGAAAAGCUCACCAAGGCGACGAUCCGUAGCUGGUCUGAGAGGACGACCAGCCACACUGGAACUGAGACACGGUCCAGACUCCUACGGGAGGCAGCAGUGGGGAAUUUUGGACAAUGGGGGCAACCCUGAUCCAGCCAUUCCGCGUGAGUGAAGGAGGCCUUCGGGUUGUAAAGCUCUUUCGCAAGGGAAGAAAACUUAGGCUCUAACAUAGCCUGAGGUUGACGGUACCUUGAUAAGAAGCACCGGCUAACUACGUGCCAGCCGCCGCGGUAA
rnacentral:rRNA from 1 species